AUGCUAGCCAUAUGCUUCUCAUCCUUUACCGGAACCCUUACUGUUGACUUCCACGCGGAUACGCAGCCCUCCAUUGGAUGGCAAAAGAACCAGGACAAAUUUCCUCGCAUUGAAAAGUUGAUCCAGUGCCCUUGUCACUGCAGUGGCUGCCUGAGAUACACCCACAAACUCUGCAGUAUGAACAGCACAAACUGUCUACUAAAUGUGACUGCCAGCCAUUCACACCAUGUCUGGAUUGAGCAAGGGGAAAGUGGCACAGUCGUCACAAAAAAACAGAAAGCAGGAGGGGAAGAAAAAGGCCAACCCCCUUGUCCCUCUUCCCUUAAAUCUCCAUCACCGGAAGCCUUUGGUGCCAUCUGUGACCCUGGAGAAAAGGACGGGCGAGAUGCCUCCACCCUGUGCCAACGGGGACAAAGGAGCUGCCAGUUAGAGCGGCCCCCCUCGCAGGCAGCCAGAGGACUCUGUGUGACUGACUGGGGCUGA
rnacentral:lncRNA from 13 species